rnacentral:misc_RNA from 1 species
GAUGAAGAACGCAGCGAAAUGCGAUAAGUAAUGUGAAUUGCAGAAUUCAGUGAAUCAUCGAAUCUUUGAACGCACAUUGCGCCCGCCAGCAUUCUGGCGGGCAUGCCUGUUCGAGCGUCAUUUCAACCCUCAAGCUCUGCUUGGUGUUGGGGCCCUACGGUUGACGUAGGCCCUUAAAGGUAGUGGCGGACCCUCUCGGAGCCUCCUUUGCGUAGUAACUAACGUCUCGCAUUGGGAUUCGGAGGGACUCUUGCCGUAAAACCCCCAAAUUUUCUAAUGGUUGACCUCGGAUCAGGUAGGAAUACCCGCUGAACUUAAGCAUAACAAUAAGCGGAGGA